CGAACCGAAGCUAAGCUUACCAAGCACUCACACAACUCUACAAACACCAACUUAACCCUACAGAAAAGCACAAAGCUCGACUGCAGAACAUCCAAGCCACAGUACCAACACACCAAAGACAGAUCCUAAGAUAGCAUUAGUAUAGAGAGGCCUAUUACAAAAGAUCAGACAAAAAACAAACGCCAUUGAACAUCCUUCAGCCACUUCUUCAAGUCUUCUUUUAGUAUGUGACUAUCACUAUUCGUUCUGACGGUCCUUCUCUGUGUCCUGCAACAGCAAACAGCUUUCCUUCCGAGGUUUUUUUGUUCAACAGAUCAGUUGCAAUCCUCAGCAUAUUUUCAAUGAUACUUUUAUAAGAAAAUAUAAUUACGCUAUAACUUCUCGAUAAUAUAGUAGCGGAGGCGGUGUCGGCUGCUGUGCAUGCGUCGGUGCAUGUGUGGUUA
rnacentral:lncRNA from 1 species